AGCAAGUGCACACCCUUCGAGGACAGCUGCUGUCGCCGCCAAGGCCGCAACCGGCCGUCGCUCCAUGCUGCGGUAGAAUUUAGAAACGAGAAGGGAGAUGGCGGCCGAGGCGCUGGGGUUCAUGGCGCGGGGAGCCAACGGUGGGAGGGCGGCGGAGCUCGUCACAAGGGACUUUCUCGGCGGGUGCGCCGCCACCGGCGACGCCAGGGACGCGUCCGCCAGGAAUGGCACCGUGCCCGGGAGGGUGGCUCAGCAGAAGCACGCGUGCCCGGCAACGCCGAUGGACCUCAACCUGUUAACAAUAAAACUCUUUCAUACCUCUC
rnacentral:misc_RNA from 1 species